GAUGAACGCUGGCGGCGUGCCUAAUACAUGCAAGUCGAGCGAACAGACGAUGAGCUUGCUGCUUUCACGUUAGCGGCGGACGGGUGAGUAACACGUGGAUAACCUACCUAUAAGUCGGGGAUAACUUGGGGAAAGCGGAGCUAAUACCGUAUAAUAUAUUGAACCGCAUGGUGCAAUAGUAAAAGACGGUUUUGCGGUCACUUAUAGAUGGUUCCGCGCCGCAUUAGCUAGUUGGUAAGGUCACGGCUUACCAAGGCAACGAUGCGUAGCCGAACUGAGAGGGUGGUCGGCGGCACUGGAGGUGAGACACGGUCCAGACUCCUGCGGGAGGCAGCAGUAGGGUAUCUGCCGCAAUGGGCGAAAACCUGACAGAGCGGCCGGGCGUGAGUGGUGAAGGUCUUGGGAUCGUGAAGCUCUGUUAUUAGGGGAAAACAACUGUGUAAGGAAAUAAGCACGUAUUGACGGUACCUAGUAAGAAAGCCACGGCUAACUACGUG
rnacentral:rRNA from 1 species